GAACCACCACGUGGCGGAUCCCCUGAUGCAAGAGCACCAUCACGUGGCUGAUCCCCUGAAGCAGCACCACCACCACCACGUGGCUGAUCCCCUGAAGCCAGCUGAUGCGUUUGUCAAUUACAAAGACCUUCCUUUUGCAGCGUCUCUCGUUUACCGACGUCCAGUCGAUUCCCCAAGAACAUGGUCUGGAUACUCCCCGGGAGUAUAUCCCUAUGCUGCAUCCAACUAUUGGGAUGCCGCCGAUUGGUUAUCCUUCUACAUUAAGCAAGGGCAACCUCCUGGACGGCCCUGAUCAAAGUAAAGCCUUAUUCAUAAAUUACGUUUUAAGUCAUCCAUUUAUAAGAAUUUACAUUUCUUUACUUUCUUUUUGAUGCCUCCCUUCAACAAUAAUCCCAAUGGGCAACCAGUAGUCUAUCCUCCACCUUAUAGGAACCCCUAGCAGAUCAGCCUACUACACCGUUGCAUACAGCGGUGCCUGUGAGAAGACACGCCCACGACUACAACGCCCCUUACAGCAAUGCCUGCACCAGCAAUGAAGUAUUGUCCAAUGUUAGAGUUUCAGGAGUAUCCCCAAUAUUAUGCAUUUCAGGGCUAUACCCCUAUAUUCCAAUUCCAUACUUUCAUCAACAGAAUGGUCCAUCUGCCCUUCACGUUAUCCUUUCCUGCUUUUCCAGGCUAAUGCUUUUAAAUGAGUCGAUCAAUAAAAUGACUGCAAGCA